AUUGAACGCUGGCGGCAGGCCUAACACAUGCAAGUCGAGCGGAUGAAGGGAGCUUGCUCCUGGAUUCAGCGGCGGACGGGUGCGUAGUGCCUAGGAAUAUGCCUGUUAGUAGGGGAUAACGUCCGGAAACGGGCGCUAAUACCGCCUACGUCCAGAGGGAGAAAGAGGGGGAUCUUCGGACCUCACGCUAUCAGAUGAGCCUAGGUGGGAUUAGCGAGUUGGUGGGGUAAAGGCCUACCAAGGCGACGAUCCGUAACUGGCCUGAGAGGGUGAUCAGUCACACGGGAAUUGAGACACCGUCCAGACACCUACGGGAGGCAGCAAUGGGGAAGAUUGGACAAUGUGCGGAAGCCUGCACCAACCAUGCCACGUGUAUGAAGAAGGUCUUCGGAUUGUAAAGCACUUUAAGGUGGGAAGAAGGGCUGUGAGUUAAUACCUUGCUGUUUUGACGUUACCAGCAGAAUAAGCACCGGCUAACUACGUG
rnacentral:rRNA from 1 species